UCCCAGAUUUCAGGGAAACAAACAGAGCAAGGGAGCUUGAUCUCUAGCAUUCACGGAUUAGAACUCCCCAUCCGCGAUCAUCUUCCAGCAUUUGUUCCUAACAACCCGAGCUUCACGUGCUCUUCCCCUGUUUCGGAACCAAUCCCAGCCGAAUCCAACUCCUCCACGUCGUUCCCGAGCUUAUCCUCCCAAAAUCAAGUCCUCUGUUUCUCCUCCUCAUCUUCUCCGGACCACACCAGUGAAUUAUCCGAAUCAACCGCGAGCAAGUUCAUCUUCCCAACGUCUC
rnacentral:lncRNA from 1 species